rnacentral:rRNA from 1 species
UUUAAUUCGAAGCAACGCGAAGAACCUUACCAAAUCUUGACAUCCUCUGACCCCUCUAGAGAUAGAGUUUUCCCCUUCGGGGGACAGAGUGACAGGUGGUGCAUGGUUGUCGUCAGCUCGUGUCGUGAGAUGUUGGGUUAAGUCCCGCAACGAGCGCAACCCUUAAGCUUAGUUGCCAUCAUUAAGUUGGGCACUCUAAGUUGACUGCCGGUGACAAACCGGAGGAAGGUGGGGAUGACGUCAAAUCAUCAUGCCCCUUAUGAUUUGGGCUACACACGUGCUACAAUGGACAAUACAAAGGGCAGCGAAACCGCGAGGUCAAGCAAAUCCCAUAAAGUUGUUCUCAGUUCGGAUUGUAGUCUGCAACUCGACUACAUGAAGCUGGAAUCGCUAGUAAUCGUAGAUCAGCAUGCUA